UAGAUAAAACAAAUACAUGGAAAAGUCAUUCUUUUGAAAUUCAAGUUUUCUUCAGGUGGAUAAAAAGAAAACAAUGAAGUUGCAUCUUUAAAACUUUACAGACAGGUGCUCAAGGCGAUCACCAUGGAACUCACACAAACCCUGGACUGUUGAGGAGCACCAAAGGAGAUGAGCUGGACAGUUCCGGAAAAAGAAAAAAACCUGAUUUUGACACACAGAGAGGCCACAUUUCAAAUCUGGACUCCCAAGUCCUCAUGUGGGCACUUCCACCGCUGAUAAAAAUGGACACCUGGAUACCUCAGGGUCUAUUGGAGCACCCAAGUUUGGAUUUAAGGAAAAGAAGACAGACGCUGGCAACGGACAGCGUACCAGCGAGGGCCCAGCAACAGCAGGCUGCCUCCGCAGACAAGACAGGAGAAGUCCAUCAAAUACCCUAUUUUAAAAAGAGGAAGCUGUUCUAGGGAGCAAGAAGUCUGAGGAGUUUCCAUGAGUUCUCAGGCUCAUUCCGAAGUGGGCAUCAGCUCUGCUUAUCUAUUUGCCCCAUGUCCACCUCCAUUAAGAAAAACCUUG